rnacentral:lncRNA from 1 species
CAUAUAUCUACCGAGGAUUAUAUGAUAUGGUACAGAGAAAUUACUCGGAGACGGAUACACCAUCCUCGACCCUUUAGGCGUCAAGGGGACGAUUAUGAGUCACGGGUAUUCAUUGACCAAUAUGUGGCUAUAAACACGGUAAGUUUUUCAAUUUAUAAUAUUUAUUAAUGUUUUUGUGUUUUUAACUUAUUAUCUUUUUUUAUUAAUAUAAUUUUUUUAUUCAAUUGUAGAUUGAGAGUGCAAAAUCUAUAUUUGAAAAGUUGUUGUCAAUUGAACAUCCACCUGAGUUAAGAACCAUGUAUGACACAUGGUUCAAUACAUUAUACCAGCCGUUCAUGAAUGACUAUAGAGGGGUUCUAAUCAAUCCAAAUCCAA